AAGACUAUACUUUCAGGGAUCAUUUCUAUAGUUUCUGACUUGAGGAAUGUGUUUUUAGAGAGUGUGGUCUCGCUGUCCAUGAUGAUGAGUAAUGAUGUUUCCUUCAGAGCAGGAAGCUGGUGGGAAGAUCCAGCAUCUUCUCCACUGUUGGUGUCUUUUCAGUGUAGCUAUUUGUUACACUGAUGGAGGAAACAUGAUCUGAGUGGG